GGAGCGCGUGGCCGCGUGUCCAACCCACGGGACUUCCUUGGCGCGCGCCGCGAGUCACACCUACCCCAGGGCCUGGCGCACCCACUCGCCGUGGACUGAAGGGCGGAGGUCAGGGCUGGGCAGAAGCCCAGCCCGGCGCAGUCCAUCCAGCGGUGGGAGCGUGCGCGGAGCCCAGCCACGGAGAACCCUGCUCCAGCCCGUGGCACCCUCCCCGCCUCCAGCGCAGACCCGCAAAGGGCUGUGUCCAGGCCAGACCAGAGCAGGACCCGUGGAGGACAUGGGGAUCCCCCCGACAGCACGGCCCCAGGCACACCCUUCCCUGGGGUGUCUCAGGAGCAGACGUGCGGGUGAGAGAACAAGACCCUGGGUGAGCCUGACCUGGGACUCUUGGAACAGUGCUCAGUGCCACGCCUUGCCAGUGGGGCUCAGCUGUCCCGGGGUCCGGCGCCAGUUACCAUGGCCCCCGUGUCAGGGUGUGGAGUGGUCGCCGAGGGAGGGUGAGCGUGGCUGGGACAGCCUGACCUGGGCAUCUCCGUGGCUGUCCAAGGUCAUGGACUUCUGGAAGCUCGGACCCAGUGCUCCAGCCCCCAACAUGUGGCCAGACUGGUGGCCAGUGUGUGCUUGGUCACUCCCAGAAGGGGGAUUCAUUACCGCUUACAGCUGCCUGGUCCCGUUUGGCGCCCGGUUGUUAGAGGCGACACUUAUUCUCAAACUGGGGUUCAGUGGGCACACCCUGUGCGAUGUGGGGCCUCUGACACUGGCACUUCACCUGCAGCCGUGACGCACAGCAGAGUCCCAGACGCUGAGCUGCGGAAGGUGACCUGAGGGCCAAGGAGGGACACACUGUGUGUGCAUGUGCGUCAGCGUGCGUGCAGGCCUGCACCCUGGUGUGCACGCACACACGUGUGUGUCCACGCACGUCUGUGUGUGUGAGGUCACAGGAGCUAUUCCUGAGUGACACAGAAGUGAGGCUUCAGCGGGUGAGCCCAGGGCCUGGAGGGGAGGAUGUGCUCCGAACCCCGCGGCGCCCUCUCCAAGCCUCUUACCCGUCCUCACGUGGAGCCGGGCCCUCCCUCGUUCCCAGCAGGUGGGAACUGCUGACAGGCAGCAAGGCCGGCUGCCUGUCACCAUGGGAUACCUGACGGUCCCACGUCGCCACCUGCCCUCCCUGGAGCUUGGGCUCCUCGGGGGGUCAGGUCCGUGCUUCUCCCUGCCGGCCAAGGCCCCCGAGGCUGCAGGGGCCGGGGCAGACCUUCAGAGUCGUCUUGGGUUGUGGCGAGGGUCCACGGCUUUCCUCCCUCGUGUCAGUUGUCUCUGGGUGCAGGAUGCCCUGAGGAGAGGGUGUGAUUUGGGGUGAGGCUGUCAGUUCAAGACUGACCACAGCCCUUCAAAUCCACGCACCAAAUGUGCUAAGAGUUUCUAGCAAAACACCGCGUGGGUGCUGAUUGCUCCCCAGCUGCCUGCUCCUGUGCUCGCCCCCGCCCCAGUGCCUCCCGAGGUCCCAGGGGGCAGACUCCACCCGAGAGACGUGCGUCCACGUGGGUCUCCAGGCUCCUGCCUCCUCUGCCCUUCGCUCAGGAGAAGCCCAGCCUCAGCGCCCCGCUGCCCGCACCUCAGCCGUGAGGGCCUCCUUCCCACCCCAGUCGCUGGCCCUUUGCCUCAGGCUUGGGGUGGGGGAGGCCGGACGCAGUCUUUCCUCUCACCCCGCGAAGCCCAUCCCGCCCUGCGGGCUCCCUCUUCUCCUUCGGGCCUGUCAGCUCCUGGUGCCUCGAGGUGAGUGAGUGAAGGCUCCUUCCCCCGAGCGGGCAGGGCUGGGGGCACCCUGGUGUCUCAUGGAAGGAGGUGCCAGGCCUGGUGUCUGCACCGUGGGAGGGGUGCCCGGGGCCCUGACCCCAGCUGUGUCAGCGAGUAGGAAGCAUGAGUGGGCCGUGGGCCACGUCAGCAGGCUUCAGAAUCUCUUUCUUCACCUGUGAAACAGGAGCCGGGACUUCGGCCCACCCCCCAGGGUGCAUGAGCCUGAAAGAGGGGCCCCAAGAGCUUGGGUCAGUGGCUCUGCAAGACCCAGAUUGACAACUGUGGCCCGUUCUCGGGAGUCCUGGGGCUAGUGGAGGGAGCUGGUCGGCCUGGGGGAGGCGCUCUUUGCUCCAGGCAUCCUGCCUCCAGGAGAGCUGCCCGCCUGUCCUCUUCCCAACGGUGAAGGUCACAGGUCCCCGGGGACACAGAGGCGCCUUCUGGGCAGCAUGCUGUGUGCGGACUCCCCCUGCUGCUGUGUGACUUGGGAGGAGAGGGCGUGUGGCCCUCACUCAGGGCCACCCAGGUGUCGGGGCCUGGGCCUUGUGGGCGUGAGGGCCUUCUGGCUUUGUGCUGCGAAGAUGCGCUAUGGAGGAUGGUCUGUCCUCGCACGUGUCUGGUGAGAGGGAGACCUUGGCUCCAGGAGCGGCAGCCUGGAGCUAGUGGCCCGUGACCUGAGCUGUGGAGUGGGGAGCGCCGACCAGCAGUGGUGCCGGCCUCCCGUUCCCACUGGGACAGCCCCACCCACAGGGGCUCAACCUUGGGCUCCAGCUGCAGUUUCAUCCAAACUGAAAGCAGCUUCCUGCUGGUUCAGCCAGAGGCAUCCCCACCUGACGCGGUGGGGUCUGCCCAGACCCAGCUCCCCUGUGGACAACCCCUGCACCGGGUUCACUCUGAUGGCCGCCACCUGGGUCAUCUGUCCUGGACCCCUGGUCACCGAGCGGCGUGUGCCCGUGUGCCAGGGUGGAAGGGACGAGAUGGAGAACAUGCAUGGAUGCUGCCUGUGGCUCUGGCCUCUGUGGCCACACUGAGCUGCCUGGAGGGGCCGAGCUUGGCAGGCACCCUCGCGCAGAGGCAGGGACUUGCCACAGCCUGUUCCUGUGUCAGACAACGUAAAGGUGCACCUGGCUCCUCCCACUCCCUCCUGGGGCCCCGCUGUGGUGAUGUGAUGGCUGCCAGGGCCCCACAGGGUGAGGACAGUCACUGGAGCAUCACCUCCCCGAGGGCACUGGUGAGGUCAGGACCUGCCCGGACAGCCCUGGAGCCUCCUCCAGGGCAGCAAGGGCCACGAGGGCAUGUGGUAACAGUGCUGUCCUUUCCCAAGGUGGUGGGCAGGUGGCAGGCGGCCCUCGGGGUGGACAGGCGUGGCUGGCAGCCCCGCUCUGAGGGCUCAAGGCCCAGGUUGAACCCCUGCAGGUGGGGCUGUCCCAGUGGGAACGGGAGUGGGGGUGGGAUGCAGCCUGAGUGACAGCCCAGAACCACAGCCGCUGCGUGUCCCAGACCUACGUGCUGCUGGCUCCGGGGGAAGAAGGGACAGGUCCUGGACAACGGGAGGUGUGGGAAGGUACCCUGCCUGCCGGCCUCAGGCGGACCCCGUCUCCAGACAAGGAAGGAGACAGAAAUAACUUAUGCCAUGAACGAAACGGGAGCACUGACGAGCGUUUUCUGGCCCGACCCGCCGCUGCCCAGGCCGCUGCGCCCCGCCACCACGGAGGCGGGCCUGCCGAGGGAGGGGGACACGUGGUCC